rnacentral:rRNA from 1 species
UAGUCCACGCCGUAAACGAUGAGUGCUAGUUGUUGGGGUCUUCGACCUCAGUGACGCAGUUAACGCAUUAAGCACUCCGCCUGGGAAGUACGGUCGCAAGAUUAAAACUCAAAGGAAUUGACGGGGACCCGCACAAGCGGUGGAGCAUGUGGUUUAAUUCGAGGCAACGCGAAGAACCUUACCAGCUCUUGCAUCCCGAUCGCGGUUAGUAGAGAUACUUUCCUUCAGCUAGGCUGGAUCGGUGACAGGUGGUGCACGGCUGUCGUCAGCUCGUGUCGUGAGAUGUUGGGUUAAGUCCCGCAACGAGCGCAACCCUCGUCCUUAGUUGCUAACNGGUUAUGCUGAGAACUCUAAGGAAACCGCCGGUGUUAAACCGGNGGAAGGUGGGGACGACGUCAAGUCAUCAUGCCCCUUACGGGGCUGGGGCUACACACGUGCUACAAUGGGUGACUACAGAGGGGUUAACCCCCAAAAGUCAUCUCAGUUCGGGAUUGUCAGCUGCAACUCGCUGGGC